rnacentral:tRNA from 1 species
GCCCCCAUCGUCUAGUGGCCUAGGAUAACGGGUUUUCAUCUCGUCGACAGGGGUUCGAAUCCCCUUGGGGGUA